rnacentral:sRNA from 1 species
GUGUGUAUUUCUUCAGAUCAUGUACAGACAUUAUCUGUUGUAUCAUCUUCAUUAUCUUCUUGAUGGGAAUGGCCGUUGUGUCAAUUGUAGGGUACGCAAGAGGUGAUCCGAUUCGACUAAUCUACCCAACAGAUUCUCAUGGAAAUAUCUGUGGCUAUGGUAAAUACAGUGACAAACCUUACCUGUUUUUCUUUGAUCUGGUCACCUGUGCCAAGUUGGGGCCAGCAGUGGUGACAGGAUGCCCAACACCACAGGU